UGUGCCUUUAGCUCAGCUGGAUAGAGCGACAGCCUCCUAAGCUGUAGGUCGGAAGUUCGAAUCUUCUAAGGCACGU
rnacentral:tRNA from 1 species